rnacentral:rRNA from 1 species
UUCGUGUGAACAGUGGUUGAUCACGAGUUAGUCGGUCCUAAGUUCAAGGCGAAAGCCGAAAAUUUUCAAGUAAAAAUAAUAAAUCAUAAUAUAUGUUUUGCUAUAUAAUACACUUGAAUAAUUUUGAACGAAAGGGAAUACGGUUCCAAUUCCGUAACCUGUUGAGUAUCCGUUUGUUAUUAAAUAUGGGCCUCGUGCUCAUCCUGGCAACAGGAACGACCAUAAAGAAGCCGUCGAGAGAUAUCGGAAGAGUUUUCUUUUCUGUUUUAUAGCCGUACUACCAUGGAAGUCUUUCGCAGAGAGAUAUGGUAGAUGGGCUAGAAGAGCAUGACAUAUACUGUUGUGUCGAUAUUUUCUCCUCGGACCUUGAAAAUUUAUGGUGGGGAUACGCAAACUUCUCAACAGGCCGUACCAAUAUCCGCAGCUGGUCUCCAAGGUGAAGAGUCUCUAGUCGAUAGAAUA